rnacentral:rRNA from 1 species
UGCCUCAGACAUGCAAGUCGAACGAGAAAGUUCCCUUCGGGGAAUGAGUAAAGUGGCGCACGGGUGAGUAACACGUAGGUAAUCUACCUUCGGGUGGGGAAUAACCCAGGGAAACUUGGGCUAACACCGCAUAAUGCAGCGGCACCACAUGGUGACAGUUGUUAAAGCGGGGGAUUUUAGGACCUCGCGCCUGAAGAGGAGCCUGCGGCAGAUUAGCUAGUUGGUAAGGUAACGGCUUACCAAGGCGACGAUCUGUAACCGGCCUGAGAGGGCGGUCGGUCACACUGACACUGACAUACGGGUCAGACUCCUACGGGAGGCAGCAGUCGGGAAUUUUGGGCAAUGGGCAAAAGCCUGACCCAGCAACGUCGCGUGAAGGAUGAAAUCCCUCGGGAUGUAAACUUC